GGGGAGGAGCCGGUUUUACCCGGAGGCGCGGGUCCUGCGGUCGGUGCCGCGCCGGUCACCCAGGCCCUGGGACCGCUGCCAGGGAGCGCGGCGGGGCGGCCAGGUGGCCGCGCGGGGUCUCCGAGCCGAUAGAGGCCGAGCGUGGGGAGCCUGCAGGGGUGAUCGGCGUGGCCGCGCACUGGGCCGUAGCGGUCUGAGGGAUCCGGGCUUCUGGGCGCUGAAACAGGUCCCUGGCGGAGGGGCCCAGACCCUGAGCUUGGGCACCCAUGGGCCAGGCAGCUGCCUAGUACUCGCCGCACGCCGGGCAGUGAGGGUCCGCGGCGCUCUGUGGGCCACCUUGUGGAGUCACGGGGCGAUCACUGCCUACCUGGCUGCCGGGAGGAGCCCAGGCCCCAAGCCCGGAGACACACUCACUGUCCCAGAUUCCUUCUGGGACUGGGAGCAGGCCGAGGCCAGAAACUGAAGCGCAGACAGGGAAGUGAGCCUCUUCACCUCCCUUAUGCUGGAGGACAGGGUGAGGGCACAGGAGCAUCUCAGGGCCACAGUGAUCUGGCUUUUCUGCAGGUGAAGCAUGGAGAUUUGCAUGAAGAGCCUAGAGUGGAGAAGAUUUCAGGAAACCCAUCUGCAGGCAAAGCGAGGUAGCGCCAGGUUACAAUUUGAUCUCAGUGCCAUGGUACUGAUGCUCAUAGCACACUUUCCUAGCAUGGAGCAAACAGGGGACAGUCUCUUGUAAAGUCUGGAAGUUCCCAGAUACAUGGGUUUUGGGUGAAGCACUGGCUGGACUAGAUCCAGAGAUGUCCCCCAUCCAGCCCAGAUGUCUGGAAGAUUCUAGCCCGAGUUGGGUGCUAUCCCUGUCAGGAGUGGACAUUCCGUAUUUGGAGAUGAGGGAUUGGUGUCACAACUCUUCAGGGAUUAUCAAUUUAAAAUGUUAC
ensembl:lncRNA